UGGGGAAUAUUGCACAAUGGAGGUAACUCUGAUGCAGCGACGCCGCGUGAACGAAGAAGGCUUUCGAGUCGUAAAGUCCUUUUAUAUGGGAAGAUAAUGACGGUACCAUAAGAAAAAGCCCCGGCUAACUACGUGCCAGCAGCCGCGGUAAUACGUAGGGGGCUAGCGUUGUCCGGAAUCACUGGGCGUAAAGGGUUCGCAGGCGGAAAUGCAAGUCAGGUGUAAAAGGCAGUAGCUUAACUACUGUAAGCAUUUGAAACUGCAUAUCUUGAGAAGAGUAGAGGUAAGUGGAAUUUUUGGUGUAGCGGUGAAAUGCGUAGAUAUUAAAAAGAAUACCGGUGGCGAAGGCGACUUACUGGGCUCAUUCUGACGCUGAGGAACGAAAGCGUGGGUAGCAAACAGG
rnacentral:rRNA from 1 species